GAAAGUUGGGAAUACGCUAAGGUAGAAAGAUGAAAGUGGCUACUGUGGUGUGAAUGAAAAGGUCCCCCUCUCUCCCCAUCCCUGGCUCCUGAGUUUGAACACUUGGUCCCCAGUUGGUGGCAGUGCUUAGUGAGCUUAUGAGGCCUUGCUAGAGGAAGUAUGUCAUUGGGGUAAGCUUUGAGGGCUUAUAACAUCACUCCUUAUCCUAUUGUCUCUCUGCUUGUUGUGUGUGGUUGAAACGUGACUUCUCAGCGUCUCCUUCUUGCCACCACAGGUCCCCAACCUUUAGAGACUCAACCUCUGCAACCACAGGCCCAAAUACAGUUAGACAUAGAACUGCCUCUGCAAAUAUGGACCGCAUGAAAUGUCCCCUCAGGCUCAUAGGCCAGAGCAGUAGGCCUCCAGCUGGUGGCGCUAUCUUGUCGUUUCCCAUGGGUGCUGAUCUGUAUGUAGCUGGUGGAGAGAUACAGGAUAAGGCCUGGCCUUUGUGGGCUUCCACUCUCUCCUGCUUCCUGCCCAAUCUCUCUGCCUCCUCAGCCUCCAAGGUAUAAUGAGCCUAUGUCUCUGCUGUCAUGAGAUGAUGAUGGGUUGAAACCACAGGCCCAAAUGAUCCUUUUCCCUUAAAGCUGUUCCAAUCAGGUACUUUGGUCACAGCAAGAAGAAAAUAUUAUUGAUUCAAAGUAUCAUCAAUGUACUAAAUUUUUAAAAAAUCAGUUUUGUAGAAAUCUCAAAGCGUGGUGGCAUUUCUUCCUUUUGUACUUUAGGCAUUGAUCGAGUCCAUUUUGUGAUUUAUGCUUUUGGGCCUUGCUCAGUAGCACACUGAGUUGGGAAAAGCCAAGGGUUUGGCUGUUGAGAGAGGUGAGAGACCUUUAUAUGAGAAACCAUUGUAGCCUGUGUUCAAGUUUCACCUUUGUGGUUGAGUCUAGUCUCGGAUUUUGUUCUCUUGUUGUCAAGCUGUCUUGUUUCCCAUGUUAUUUUGUUCCUUGUCGCUAAAACAGCAGCCAAAGCCACCACAGAAACUAUUGAGUGGUCAUCAAUACAAAUAUCCCAAAUAUCUGGGGACAUGCCUCUCUCUGCGUUUGCAGUUUUUUGGAGCAAUUGAGAUUUGGAAACAGCAACUCGUCCACUAAAGUGCAGCACGUGGGUGAGCAUCGGCAAGUGCUCCGCCUGGGUUCUCAGACUCCCUUGCUCUCCCAAGAACUCUGUUUGCCCAUUAGUGUUAAACGUCAGUUAGUGUUCUGUCCUCGUGGCUGUUUUGCUUGGAUUUGUUGCUCAGCUCUGAAAAUUGGCUCUGAGCAACAAAUUGCUAUAAAAGAGAAGCCAUUUGUUUGUUGGUGUUUUUUCUUUUCUUUUCUUUUCUUUUCUUUUUUCUUUUUUCUUUUCUUUAGUGAAGUAAAUGUGGGUGGGAAGGAGAAAGGGUGGCUGUUUCACUUCCUGUGAAAAAGGAAAGAAAGAAGGAAAGAAAGAAAGAAAGAAAGAAAGAAAGAAAGAGAGAAAGAGAGAGAGAAAGAGAGAGAAAGAAAGAAAGAAAGAGAGAGAGAGAAAGAGAGAAAAUUAAAGAAAG
rnacentral:lncRNA from 1 species